CCUACGGGAGGCAGCAGUGAGGAAUAUUGGUCAAUGGGCGCGAGCCUGAACCAGCCAAGUCGCGUGAGGGAUGACGGCCCUACGGGUUGUAAACCUCUUUUGCCGGGGAGCAACGUGCGCCACGUGUGGCGCCACUUAUAGUACCCGGAGAAAAAGCAUCGGCUAACUCCGUGCCAGCAGCCGCGGUAAUACGGAGGAUGCGAGCGUUAUCCGGAUUUAUUGGGUUUAAAGGGUGCGUAGGCGGUCGGAUAAGUUAGAGGUGAAAUCCCGAGGCUCAACUUCGGAAUUGCCUCUGAUACUGUUCGGCGAGAGAGUAGUUGCGGUAGGCGGAAUGUAUGGUGUAGCGGUGAAAUGCUUAGAGAUCAUACAGAACACCGAUUGCGAAGGCAGCUUACCAAGCUACUUCUGACGUUGAGGCACGAAAGCGUGGGGAGCAAACAGGAUUAGAUACCCGAGUAGUC
rnacentral:rRNA from 1 species